rnacentral:rRNA from 1 species
UGCAGUCGAGCGGACAGAAGGGAGCUUGCUCCCGGAUGUUAGCGGCGGACGGGUGAGUAACACGUGGGUAACCUGCCUGUAAGACUGGGAUAACUCCGGGAAACCGGAGCUAAUACCGGAUAGUUCCUUGAACCGCAUGGUUCAAGGAUGAAAGACGGUUUCGGCUGUCACUUACAGAUGGACCCGCGGCGCAUUAGCUAGUUGGUGGGGUAAUGGCUCACCAAGGCGACGAUGCGUAGCCGACCUGAGAGGGUGAUCGGCCACACUGGGACUGAGACACGGCCCAGACUCCUACGGGAGGCAGCAGUAGGGAAUCUUCCGCAAUGGACGAAAGUCUGACGGAGCAACGCCGCGUGAGUGAUGAAGGUUUUCGGAUCGUAAAGCUCUGUUGUUAGGGAAGAACAAGUGCGAGAGUAACUGCUCGCACCUUGACGGUACCUAACCAGAAAGCCACGGCUAACUACGUGCCAGCAGCCGCGGUAAUACGUAGGUGGCAAGCGUUGUCCGGAAUUAUUGGGCGUAAAGGGCUUCGCAGGCGGUUUCUUAAGUCUGAUGUGAAA